UUGCUACCUGCGAUAUGGAAGAUUCGAACCUGCCGCAGGUUCGGGUCUCACGUAGUGAGACAACGGAGCCGCUUGCGGCGACGGCCCGAAGGGCGAGCAAAGCGAGUCAUCCUGCACGACCCACCA
rnacentral:sRNA from 1 species